CUAAAUAUUCACCAAUAAUAUAAACAAUAAAUUGAUAUCAUUUUUUAGGAAACCAAAGAUAGAAAAUAAUCAUUUAAAAAAAUAUAUAUUUUAAAAAUAUCUUAGGUCAGGUUCGAGGUAGGUAAUGCCCUUGAAGCUAUUACAGUUUUAUUUUAAAUACCCGUGCUCGCCUCCUGACCUUGAAUCGGUCGGAUACAACCCAUCGUGUUA
rnacentral:lncRNA from 1 species